GAAGGAACCGCAAGGUUCCGUAAAGUGGCAAACGGGUGAGUAACGCGUGGGAAACUUACCUUCAUGUUGGGAAUAACACCCCUAACGGGGUGCUAAUACCGAAUACGAUCAUGGAGCCGCAUGACUCUAUGAUCAAAGAUGGCCUCUGUUUACAAGCUGUCCCAUGAAGAUGGUCCCGCGUCCCAUUAGCUAGUUGGUGGGGUAAUGGCCUACCAAGGCAGUGAUGGGUAGCCGGCCUUAGCGGGUGUCCGGCCACACUGGGACUGAGAUACGGCCCAGACUCCUACGGGAGGCAGCAGUCGAGAGGCUUCCACAAUGGGGGAAACCCUGAUGGAGCGACGCCGCGUGGGUGAUGAAGGUCUUCGGAUCGUAAAGCCCUUUCAGCAAGGAAGAAAGGACGGGUGCUAAUACCAUCCUGUCCUGGACGGUACUUGCAGAAGAAGCUCCGGCUAACUCCGUGCCAGCAGCCGCGGUAAGACGGAGGGAGCAAGCGUUGUUCGGAUUUACUGGGCGUAAAGGGCGUCUAGGCGGAUUGGUCAGUCAGGUGUGAAACCCUUCGGCUCAACCGGAGAUCUGCACUUGAUACUGCCAAUCUUGAGUAUGGAAGAGGAAGCGGAAUUCCAGGUGUAGCGGUGAAAUGCGUAGAUAUCUGGAAGAACACCGGUGGCGAAGGCGGCUUUCUGGUCCMAUACUGACGCUNAAAGCGCGAAAGUGUGGGGAGCAAACAGGAUUAGAUACCCUGGUAGUCACACUGUAACGAAUGGAUACUAGGGGUCGGGGGUAUCGACCCUCCNGGGGCGC
rnacentral:rRNA from 1 species